AGUCACUCUCAGUUUCAGUGUGCUAUUAAAUUGCUCCUCCAGCACCUCCUCUCCUCAUCCUCCAAAGCCUGUGAUCUGUCAGCAGUAAGCUGACUUUCCAAGUUACAAGGCCAUUCUCAGCACACACUGACAACAUGCUGGGGACCCUCUGCACUCUCAUCACUGCUCUAACAUGUGUGAGUGCUGUGACGGUGGUGACACAGAAGCCUCCUGUUGUGACGCUGAGGAAAGGAGAGACAGCCACCAUGGACUGUAACCUGGGGACUGUGACUGGCAGUUCAGCUCGCUGGUAUAAACAGAUUCCAGGAGGAGUUCCUCAGUAUGUGCUGAAGUUUCAUCACAGCUGGAGCUCUGUAGAAUAUGGCUCUGGUUUCUCCUCUCCAAAGUUCACAUCUAAUCAUCAGUCAACAUCAGAUUAUCGUUUGAUCAUCAACAAUGUGGAGGAGGGAGACUCAGCAGUCUAUUUCUGCACUACAUGGGACAGCUCUGCUACAGAGGAGGUAUCACAGUGAUUUACACUGUGACAAAAACCUCCUCACACAUACUUCUGCUUUCUGAGUCUCUGACACAUCUGAUAAUAGAGCCAUCAAA